CAACUCUUAGCAAUGGAUAUCUUGGUUCCCGCAACGAUGAAGAACGCAGCGAAAUGCGAUACGUAAUGCGAAUUGCAGAAUUCAGUGAAUCAUCGAAUCUUUGAACGCAAGU
rnacentral:rRNA from 1 species